GUAUGUUAAGAAGUCUGUACAUAUAUUGUGUAUUAGUUUUAUGAGCUUAUUUUACAUAUUUUACUAGUAUUUCGUAUGUUGGAUUGUUGGUUAUUAUGUAAUAUGGUGAUGUUUAUUCUGAUUUUGCUGGUAGGAGUGAAUAUUGGUCAUUUAUGUAGUUUAUAUUUUUUUUUUUAAACGCUCGCCUCACUUCAAUGAGGCGCUUGCCUCGCCUCGCUUCAAUGAGAGCUUUGUCGCCUCGCGUAUUUAAAUCACUGCUAUGAAUACAAGUGUUUAUGAACUCUUUUGUUGCAGUGGAACAGUCAUUCACAAAGAGUGUUUGAAGUCCUCAUAUCGGCAAUUGUUCCAUGCUGGUUAUCUAAGAAUGGCAGCAUAGGCACAUUGCUUCAGAUUUUUGUGAAUGUAAUACCUGAAGUUGCUGAGCAUAGAAGGCUACCAAUUACUUACAUCUUUUGAGGUAUUAGAGAACUUCCUUCAGUCUAGGUAUCUUUGCUUUUAACUUGAUUGACAAGCUUUUUCCUUCUGGGACUCUUGGAGAGAUUGCUAGCUUGGGUUCAUUACUUUUUCUCCUUUUCGGUACAUUGGUUUCAAGGAAACUAUUAUCUGCCCUGAUGAUAGUCUACACUCGUGGGAUCACUUAACUUCUCUUACUCGUAUAGAAUGAGAGUUCGUAUUUGCAAUGAGAAUAUUUGAGCAGUAUUCAUGCAUGAUAUGGCUUCCUUCACUUGUUAAGCUGCUUCAACAAAUAGAAAUUGGUACUUGUGGUUUACAAAGUUUUAAGGAACUGCUAGUUGCUAUGCAGUUCAUUUCAAACAAACCGCUAGAUCCUGAAAUUACAUUUAUGCUCAGUUCUGGUGAAGAAUCGAAUGAUGUUCAGAGAACACUUGGAGCACUUAUGGAAUGUAUUGUUUCUCAUUUACAACUAGUUGACUCGAGCUGAAAGAAUGUAAAUUUUUCCACAGUCAUCAGGAAAGAGAUCAAGGAGUUAAUGCGUACUGUCUUGAAAAAUAUUAUGAAGGGGCUCAUGCCGUCAACAUACUUCAAUGGGAUUUCCCUAUUAAGUUGCUGAAACAUGCAGGGAGAAGUGUGAGGAGGAAAGUUCUUGGGCUUCUGUCGGAAACUGUCAAAGACUCUAACACUACGAAACUGAAGCGUGGGAGUAGGGGUUUGACUUCGUAGUCAAGUUCUUGGGUUCAUCUAGAUGACAGUGCUGUGGAGUCAUUUGGGGAGAUGUGUUUGGAAAUUGUCAAGUUGGUUGCUGAUUCUCUCGAUGAUUCUAGAACUUCGUUAAAUGUGGCAGCUGUUUCAGUGAUGGAAGUUGUGGUGUCUAAGUUUCCUUCCUAUUAUUUGAUAUUCAGCACGUGCCUCUCCUCUAUGGCCAGACAUAUCCAGUCAGACAUUGUGGCUUUCUCUUCUUCCUACGUUCGAAUGACUGGUGCUUUGAUCGAUGUGCUUGGUCCAAGUGCCCUUCUCAAGCUUCCUUCUAUCAUGGAGAAUGUGAUGAGUAGGUCUCGCGUUGUCUCUUCAUCUGUGUCUGCAAUAACCAAUUAUGGUGAAGAUAGCACUUCUACGUUGUCAACAUCCUCCAAGGAACCUCUCUUCACUUCUAUUCUUCUCGCAUUCAUGGUAGUUAUUGACAAGCUUGAUGGGUUUUUAAACUCAUAUCUUGGAGACAUUCUAAAACUGAUGGUGUUGCAUCCCAAGUUUUUGCCUGAGUCAGAUCCAAAAUUAAAAUCGAAAGCUGAUGUAGUUCGAAAGCUUAUAACUGAGAAAAUAACUGUCUGACUUUUGCUUCCACCGUUGCUGAGCUUAUACUCUGAAGCUAUUAAAUCUGGUUAUUCAAUUUUAUCAAUUGCUUUUGAAAUGUUCGGAAAUUUGGUCCGAACAAUGGAUAAAUGAUCAAUUGUUGCUUAUCAUGCAAAAAUAUUCGACUUAUGUUUGGUAGCACUUGAUCUUCGCCGUCAACAUCCUGUUUGAACUAGGAGCAUUGAGGAUGUUGAGAAAUAUGUCAUUAGCAAAACGAUAUUUCUUACUAUGAGCUUACAGAGACAAUGUUCAAGCCUCUAUUCAUUAGGUGUAUCGAGUGGGCCGACUCAGAUUUGUAUGAAACUGGAGGUGUGGGAAGCACAAAUCUUGAUAGGGCAAUUUCUUUCUAUGGAUUGGAACAUAGACUAGCUGAAAGCCACAGGUGCUGUGUUUAUCUUUUCCUCUACCAAUUUAGAGGUAUUGUUGCUGCUUGGAGGUGUUACUGCUACUGUUGCUGCAUUUUCAGGUUCACAAUUUGAAGGAUUAAUUUUAUUCCUUCACCACUUGAUGCUGCUAUCUUUUGAUUCAAAAUGGAAAUAUGGAUUUCUGCUCAGAGGCUAUCUUAGAUUGAACUGCCGUUUAUGUCUAAUAUUCCAUUCUCCAGCACACUAAAACUUCUAAUCUAUGUAAAUAUUGACUGCUUGCAAGAUUUUCAGGUUCCCGCGUAUUGCAGACAUAGUGGAUGAACGGCCCAAAAAAUAUUAGCAAUCUAAUCUAUGUAUUCAAAACAACGGCACGACAAUCAUGCGUAGCACAUAGCAAUGUCACUAAUUGGCAUAAAGUGUUGACUCGUAGAGGUCUUUGGAUGGGUAAUGGCGAGAGAAGACAAUACAAGAAAGAAAAAAUUAGAAUCAUAUCACUUAUUGGAUGAUUGAAAGGUGUGAGAAAUGAUAAGAAAUGAUGAGCAUUGUUGAUUUUUCUUGGUCUAUAUUUGUUUUUCCUCAAAUCUCACCCAAAUAGAUUUGGUGAGACCUUUCUUUUGUUACUAUUUCUCACAAGCAAGGGGCUUUAGAGAAAUGGCGAAUCCUU